GCCGAUGUAGCUCAGUUGGUAGAGCAACGCAUUCGUAAUGCGUGGGUCGCUGGUUCGACUCCGGUCAUCGGCU
rnacentral:tRNA from 1 species